rnacentral:RNase_P_RNA from 1 species
CGGAGGGCGUGACCGGUCGCCUCUGGAAACAGGGGAGGAAAGUCCGGACUCCGUAGGGCGAGAGGUCUGGUUGUCAAAGCCAGAGAGGCACUGCCACACCGGUGCCGACGGAAAGUGCCACAGAAACAAACCGCCCGCCGCAAGGCGGGUAAGGGUGAAAAGGCGGUGUAAGAGACCGCCGGGCGGGGACGGGAGUCCCGGCCGUCCAGGUAAACCCCCUCUGGAGCAAGAUCAAAUAGGGGAUGCGAGGCGCGGCCCGUGCCGUUCGUGCGUCUGACGCGCGAUAGCAUCCCGGGUUGAUUGCUUAGAUGAAUGAUCGGAGCCGCCCGCAAGGGAGGUGAACAGAAUCCGGCUUAUUCGCCCCUCCGCCAC